CCUACGGGCGGCAGCAGUGAGGAAUAUUGGUCAAUGGCCGUAAGGCUGAACCAGCCAAGUCGCGUGAAGGAAGAAGGAUCUAUGGUUUGUAAACUUCUUUUAUAGGGGAAUAAAGGUAUCCACGUGUGGAUAUUUGCAUGUACCCUAUGAAUAAGCAUCGGCUAACUCCGUGCCAGCAGCCGCGGUAAUACGGAGGAUGCGAGCGUUAUCCGGAUUUAUUGGGUUUAAAGGGUGCGUAGGUUGUUUUUUAAGUCAGCGGUGAAAGUUUGUGGCUCAACCAUAAAAUUGCCGUUGAAACUGGCUGUCUUGAGAUGUCGAGAGGUAUGCGGAAUGCGCAGUGUAGCGGUGAAAUGCUUAGAUAUUGCGCAGAACUCCGAUUGCGAAGGCAGCAUACCGGCGGCGAUCUGACGCUGAGGCACGAAAGCGUGGGUAUCGAACAGGAUUAGAUACCCCAGUAGUC
rnacentral:rRNA from 1 species